AAAAUUUGUGGGUACAAGUGGCAAAGGGCUUGGUGGUUGGUAUUCGAGGUCUCAAGUUCGAAUCCUAAUUGCUUCAUAUUUUCAGCUAAGUUUAUUUCUAAAUGAAAUUGUGAGAACUGAAAAUUUGACAAUGUAGCUAAACUCGUUGUCGACGAUAUUUUCGUGUGUAAUUUAGUUACAUAAUGUAGUGUUCGAGAGAUUUGGAUAGGGUUGGCUACAGUAUUUAUGACUGGUCGACACAUCUGGAGAGUGUCGGACUGAGUCGGAGUCGUUUCUGCAUGAAAUGGAUGCAGAAAUGGAUUUGGCGCACUCAAGGGAGUAAAACUGGAGUUUUACUAGU
rnacentral:lncRNA from 1 species